rnacentral:lncRNA from 1 species
AGUGAGAGAGAGAGAUAAAAUACUCUUGUAAUAUCCUCAUAUUUUACCAUAUAGUGAUAUCAUCGGUUGUUCCCGUGGUUUUUUCCCAAAAGGAUUUUUCCACGUUAAAUCCUUGUGUUCUCAUUUUUACUUUUCUUCUCAUAUUUUUUUUCUUUAUUGUCGAUAUAAUUUUAACAAGUAUAAUUACAGAAGCAUACUGAAAAAGCAGAAAUGUACAAAAUUUAAUUCAGAAGGUACAGCACAUUCAAGCACCAAUUGCUACACUUUAGUUUUACCUUGCCGAUGAGAAGUUCAUUGGUGUGGGGUCCAUAUUGAUCGGAGGUGUCGAGGAAGGUGACGCCGUUAUCAAUGGCGUGUUGGAUGAGCUUGAUCAUUUCGGGUUCGGGUUUGGGCGGGCCAUGAUUAGGUGACAUACUCCUACAGCCCAGCCCAAUUCUAGAGACUCUAAGCCUUGUGAGCCUAGCUUCAUCCUCGUCACCUCGCUCGCCGGCGUUGCCAUUUUCUCCGGCAAAUGUCCGCUCUCUAAGUCUGAACAGUGAGCUCUGAACAGAAUGUAUUAUGUUGACAAAAGUUUGACGAAGUAAAUUGCAUUUUAAGCCCAUAAAGUUUGAGGGAAGUUGCAGUUACAUCCGUGAAGAAGGAUUUGAAUCCAAAAUUAACACAAAAUGUUUUAGGAAGAGCCACUAAAGGGGCAUAUAAUUUUUUUCUUUUUAAAUUUAGACCUCAAGCUCAAGAACUUUGAUUAAAGGAUAAAAAAAUUAUACCACGUGAAUAUUACAAAGGAUAAAACGACCUACGAUUGAGAAAAAGUCUUAUUCAUUUAAUACUAUUAUUAUUGUGGUCGUGUUGUUGUUAUAUUAUUAUUCAUGUUAGCAAAGUUUUGGAGGAGUCAAGUUCAAUAUUUUGGUUAUUGAGCUUAUCUAGUAUGCAUUUUUUUGGUAAUUAAAGUUUUUUCAUUAAUCACCAAUAAAGUUGCAUUACAAAAUCACAGUCAAGCUUCAACUUAGCCGACUGUCUGAAAGCUAACAUAAUAACUACACUUACUGCCCUAACUGUCUAACUUCUACUAUAUUCUAAGGUGUUGCAAUUAUUGCAUAAUUUUAGGGGUGUCUCUAACAUUACAGUUGUACACUAUGUCUCUCAGUAGAGCAGUAUUACAUCGAAAAAUCUUGUUGAAUUCUCUUGCAUUCCUUUCCAGCCAGAUAGCAUAUGCAACUUCAGCUGUGACCAUUUUAAAGAUGGUUGCACGACAUGUUCGUCUUUUGGCUUUGGUAAUCAACCAUUGUACUUUCUGGUUCCAACUGAUACUAGGUAGAAAACUAGUAUGCAUUUUGUAGUAAGAUAUCUAGAUAUUUUCUCCAAGUUCAUUUUUUUCUCCUUAAUGUUUUAUGAAAGAUUUGUCUUUCUUAUUUGUAGAGUAUAGUUAAUAGUUACGAAAAUAGAAUUUUAAGCAAUGUAAUUAAAAAAAUACUUAUCAGUUAUUUUAUUAUACAACAUAUUUAUCAAUUACUUUGACCUUCUCGGUUCUUGAUUGAAAAAUAUUAACGACCUCCAUAAAGGAGCCAUCCUAGAUAGUAUUCUUUUAUUUUAUUUUAUGCGAGUGCAAUUUUGACAAGAGGGGUUGCUUUGAUGGUAAGCAACCCCCACUUCCAACCGAGAGGUUGUGAGUUNNNNNNNNNNNNNNNNNNNNNNNNNNNNNNNNNNNNNNNNNNNNNNNNNNNNNNNNNNNNNNNNNNNNNNNNNNNNNNNNNNNNNNNNNNNNCAAAAGCAAGGUGAGAAGUUCUUGGAGGGAAGGAUGCCGGGGGUCUAUUUGGAAACAGUCUCUCUACCCCAGGGUAAGGGUAAGAUCUGCGUACAUACUAUCAUCCCCAGACCCCACUAAAUGAGACUAUAUUGGGUUGUUGUUGUUGUUAUUGUAUGCGAGUGCAAUUUUAUAAACCAUCAGAUUAGAAUGAUCUACAACAAUAGAUAAUUGUUUUGGUAACAUAAAAAAUACAGCAUAUACACUUUCUAAUAUAGAAUUCCAUCCACAAUGCGACACAAUCCUCCUAUUGAUUUAUGAGAUAAUAUUUUUACUUGUGGUGCCAUCCUAUAACUUUUCCAACUCCUUUUGUUCUUUUCAAAAACCCUUUUGGCAAAACUUCUUCAAAAUUGGUGUAAUUGCUUCGGUAAAUCUGUUUUUCCCUUUGAUGGAGAUCUUCUUAAAGACCACAAGAACCUGUUUGAACAUAAAAAUAAAAUAAAAUAAAAUUAAAAAAAGGUUUUCAGGCGUGAAAAUAAUUUUUCCUAAAAGAGAAUAUAAGUAUUAUAUUGCCCAACCUAGUCCAUGAUUUAAUAGGAAUGGCCUAAAACUUUUGAAGCCCAUUUAAAACGAGGCUUUUAUUCCCGAUCCGAGUAAGUCUGUGGACCAUAAAGCUUGUCCGAGGCUGGACUGGGUCGACCCGUGAGCUUAAUAACGUAUUUAAUUAAAAAUAUAAAAAAAUUAUUGAGAACUAAAAAUAACAAGAAGAGUUGUCUAAUCUCAAACUAGUAAUAUUUUUCAUGCAAAUAUAAAUACUUUUUGUCUUAAAACUUAGUUAUUUCAUAAUAUUUAAAUAGUUAUCAUUGCAUAUAAUUAUAUAUCUAGAUAAAAAUAAAAAUAUUCAGACAUAUUUGUUUCACAAGAAGAUCUGUUGUUGUUGGAUAUUUCAUGAACACCUUGAUUUUUUUUUUUUUGAAUAUUAACAUUUAUUAAAUGAAAUAUUGUCCUAUUUUUUGUGUGUAAUUGCCAUAUAUAUAUAAACAUUAAAUUAUAGUUUUUAAAAAUAAUGGGCCAGUUCGUGGGGCUCGUGACCCACAUAGGGUUGGGUUGGGCUAACCAUUUUAAAGCUCGUUGAAACAGUGGACGGGCCUAGCACAACCCAUCAAAUGCCAAAGCCUGCAUGGGCUUGGCUAUGUUUGAUUGGGCCAAACUCAUAUUGACAGUUCUAUCAUGAGAUAACAGUACCUCGUGAAAUUAGUGAAAAUGUGCGUAAACUAACAGAGAGAGAGUACAAAUUAUAAGUUUACAACUAACGUUACCUUUGAUUUGGUCUGCCUCAAAACUUCCCAUACUACCAAAGCACAAAAACACUACGGAUAAAUCCGGUUGCUCAUCUAACCACUCGAUAAUACUUUCAGUUUCGGAUAUAUUAUUUCGAAAAUGACCACUUUUUGCAAAACUAACCACUGGACCAACUGGAUAAAUUGUUGGAACAAUCUCAGAAUCCAUUAAAGCCUGAAGAGAAAAAGAUUCAAGCUCGAAAAAAGUGUUAAUAAUAAUCCCUUGUCUCUUUAAAUCGACGAAUUCCAUCAAAAAACAAUGUUGAAGCAAUUCUUGAAUUUAAUAAAUGCUUAGGCAAAACUUUAGUAGGACAUGGAUUUUUAAAAUAUGGAAUUGAUAAUUCCUUAUCAGAGUUCAUGUACUUAGACGUGUCCAAAUUUUGCUCCAUUUCUGAGCUUGAAAAUGAAGACAUAAGCCAAGAAAAGCAGCAUUUGAAGCAAAAUAAUAUAACUCGGAACGUAAAUUUGUUGGCUAUGUCAAUCAUCGAGGUACAAAAUAUGUCAAGCACGAAACCAGCAAGACGAGGAAUAUUUUGAACAUAUUCUCGUACGUUUGAUUUGUGACCAUCGAUGAAAUCAUGGAGGAAACUUUCAUAGUUAUUCAAGAAUGUAGAAGAUGUUUUUUCGUCUAAGGAGAUAUCGAUAAAUACUCCAUCUUGGUAUGGUGUAUUUACUUAAGGAUGUUGUUAAUUUAUCUAUGGACAGAAUAUUUGGAGUUUAUAUAAAUAUAUCGAAGUAGCGAUAAUUUGACACGUGGAAAUUUGAAGUUUCAAACUUCAAAGAAUACAUGUAUCUAGAAUUUUGACUAGUCUUUAGGUAAGAAAAAUCUUGGCUAGUAACACUAAUAUGAAUUGAUAGGGCACCCAUUAUGAGACGUACAUAUAUUGUUAAAGAAAUUAAUCUAACCACAAAAGAUAGAGGAAUGAAGAGGAAAGAUUUUAAUUUAUGUAAUACUUUUUACUUCCUAUUUAAUAUUUUUGCACACUUCUUAGGAAAGAUAUCAUCAAAUAGAUUUGGUUAACAACCAUUUAUAAUAUCUCCCUUUAAGUGAAGUUUUGCCUUUUUCUCCUAUUUAAAGGACAAGGUGAUUUUAUACUCGAAUUACUGGCAAGCAGGAGUUCGAAAAUAUUUAAUUAUUCUUAACCUUUUUUAACAUAUAUAAAUAUCAUUACUUUAUAUUUAUAAAGUAUUCGAUAUCUUAUAUGUCUAGCAUGAUAUGAAAACUUAAUAUAGAUUUAAAGUCUAUUAUCUUAACUUAUAUGACAAUCCAUGAAUGAUUUAAGUUGCUUAACAUAAACAAUUCUUGAUCCUUAAGUACCACUUUCUCAGUCCAAUUUGUGAACAUUUGUCUCUUGCUAUAAUUAUAAGCAUAAUAUUUUGAUAUUGAGGAUUUUUUAGAUGCAAUAUAUGUUAGAAUUAAGACUUAACGCUAGAGGGGGGGUGAAUAGCGUUUUAUAAAAAAUCUUGCGGAAUUAAAACUUAAAUUAAUUUGCAGGAAUUUAACAGAUGCUGAAAAUAAAUGCGGAAGGUAAAGAAGGCAGAGAUGUAUACUGGUUGGCCACACUUUGUGAAUAUAAAACAAAAUUCNNNNNNNNNNNNNNNNNNNNNNNNNNNNNNNNNNNNNNNNNNNNNNNNNNNNNNNNNNNNNNNNNNNNNNNNNNNNNNNNNNNNNNNNNNNNNNNNNNNNNNNNNNNNNNNNNAGUGCGAUAAGUAAAUAAAUUAGAACAAACGCACCGAUAUAUCCUGGUUCACCACAACCCGUGGUUAGUCCAGUCCCCGAGAGACUCUCUCGAGAUUUGAAUAAAUUUAAAAAUAUAAAGCUUGGUAAAAUUUUAAAAGAAAGAAAAAAGGAAAAGAGAAAAAAAGUAUGUGAAAAUCACAGUGGCGGAUCGAGGUGUUGGCUACAUUAGAUUCUAUCAAGACAAUAACUUCAAAUCAGCGAGCAACAAUAACUGGAUCAAGCUAUUGAAGAAAGGCAUUAAGAAGCAGAAAGUAUUUUCAGAAAAGUAACUGUCUAAUCGCAUAAGCCUCAAACAACCUGCUCGGAGGUUCCUCACCUCAAAGACUUCUCAAGAAGAAACACAAUAUUCCUUCUUGUUACAAGUGUAUAAACACUCAAUACUCACUUAUACAAUUUCUCUCUUAAUAGAGUGGAUAUGAGUACAAAAGAAUCAGCUCAAGAACACAACAACUUAAUCAAAGAUUGACUCUUAAAAUUGAGUAUGAUAUGAAAAUUGAAGAUCAAAAUUGUAAUGUAAGCUUUGCAAAUUUUCUGGUGUGUUGUUGUGUAUCUAAAAUGAUUUUCAGAGGGUGUUUUAUAAAAAAGAAGUGUAUUGGACCGUUGCCUUAGUGCUAAACACGCUCCCUGAAAAUCUGCCACUGACAAUCGAUUGUUUAUAUUGACAAUCGAUUGUUGGGUUACUUUUUCAACAGACAAACUCCUGAAAAUUCGGCUUUUAGAAAAUUUGUCGGAUUUUGUAAAGCUAACAAUCCAUUGUUGCUCUAUGACAAUCGAUUGUUGUUCAAAUAUUCAAAAUAUUUCCGACAACUUUUUGACCGAAAGUUUGUGUAAUGAUUGCCCACUAAUAAUUGUUGGAAUAAAGCCGUUUGAAAAAGUUAGUCUGGGAAUUUUAGUAAGCACAAUCGAUUGUUAGAUUCAGACAAUCGAUUGUGGUGAGUUUUAGACAAUUUCGAAAACUCUCUGCCUGAUGCCCAAAAUUUUGAUGCUAAGUAAAAAAUACUUUGACAAUCGAUUGUGGGCUCAAAAAUGAUUUUCAAGAAACUUUCUGUCUCAAGGCAAUUAUUUUGAGAUUAAGUAAAAAAUACUUCAACAAUCGAUUGUUAGAAGUGACAAUCGAUUGUGGGCUCAAAAAUGAUUUUAAACAAACUGUCUCAAGACGAAAUAUUUGAAGCUAAGUAAAAUUAGCUUGACAAUCGAUUGUGGUCAUAGACAAUCGAUUGUUAAACUCAACUUUCACAAAACGAGUUUAAAAAUCAUUUUGGCAAAUAUGCAACUUAUUUCUUUAAAACAUGAUGAUGCAUGAUUUUAUAAAAAUCAUUUUAUGUGAGAGCCAAUAUUAGAAAUAAGUCGUUGAGUCAAGAUUACAAAAUAAAAUGACUCAACAAUAAACACAACUAUAAUCUUCGUUGCGAUUCUUGGUUCCGCACUGAUUUCUUGUACUUGAUUGUUAAUGUUUCAUCCUCGUUGGUUGGUUUGGCAUUUAUCAAAACCUACAUAGAUCAACACACGUUAGUUCGAGAACGUGUUUCCAACAAUUUCCCCCUUUUUGAUAAUGGCAAACAAGUAUCGGGAUAUGCAUAUUAAUAACAGUUCAAUGACAGUAUGCAUAACAGUUCAAGAUAUGUUCCCCCUAAAUAUAUGCAAACAUAUAUUCUAGUGCACAGCCAAAAUAAUAUAAUGCAUAGUUCCCCCUAAAUAUAUGCAAACAUAUAUUCUAGUGCACAGCCAAAAUAAUAUAAUGCAUAGCCCGGUUUUCUUCCCCCUUUUGACAUUAACAAAAAGUGCAAGAAGAACCAUUUUAUAUAAAGUAAUCAAUAAGACUGUCAAGAAAUGGGCUGUUUGUGCGUCAUAUCCUUGUAAUUCCCCCUGCCUUUAGGGCGAUACCUGCAAAAAUUUGUUAGACCACUCCGACGCUCAAGUUAGAAAUCAUUUCAGCAGCCUUUAGGGCGAUACCUGCAAAAAUUUGUUAGACAACUCCGACGCUCAAGUUAGAAAACAUUUCAAAUGAAAAAUGCAAUGCAUGACAUAGAUCAACGUGGAGUCAAGAAUUCCGAGUUCACUACGAAUUCUGAAGAAGGACUCUUUCUCUAAAGGUUUGGUAAAGAUAUCGGCUAAUUUAUUUUUGGUUUCAACAAAUUCAAUGUCGACAUCUCCCUUGAGAACGUGAUCUCUUAUAAAAUGNNNNNNNNNNNNNNNNNNNNNNNNNNNNNNNNNNNNNNNNNNNNNNNNNNNNNNNNNNNNNNNNNNNNNNNNNNNNNNNNNNNNNNNNNNNNNNNNNNNNNNNNNNNNNNNNNNNNNNNNNNNNNNNNNNNNNNNNNNNNNNNNNNNNNNNNNNNNNNNNNNNNNNNNNNNNNNNNNNNNNNNNNNNNNNNNNNNNNNNNNNNNNNNNNNNNNNNNNNNNNNNNNNNNNNNNNNNNNNNNNNNNNNNNNNNNNNNNNNNNNNNNNNNNNNNNNNNNNNNNNNNNNNNNNNNNNNNNNNNNNNNNNNNNNNNNNNNNNNNNNNNNNNNNNNNNNNNNNNNNNNNNNNNNNNNNNNNNNNNNNNNNNNNNNNNNNNNNNNNNNNNNNNNNNNNNNNNNNNNNNNNNNNNNNNNNNNNNNNNNNNNNNNNNNNNNNNNNNNNNNNNNNNNNNNNNNNNNNNNNNNNNNNNNNNNNNNNNNNNNNNNNNNNNNNNNNNNNNNNNNNNNNNNNNNNNNNNNNNNNNNNNNNNNNNNNNNNNNNNNNNNNNNNNNNNNNNNNNNNNNNNNNNNNNNNNNNNNNNNNNNNNNNNNNNNNNNNNNNNNNNNNNNNNNNNNNNNNNNNNNNNNNNNNNNNNNNNNNNNNNNAAGUGCCACUAGUGCUCUUGCGGUCCAAUUUGCAUCCAGCGAAAUCGGAAUCGGAAUAGCCAACAAGUUGGCAUGAGGAACCUUUGGGGUACCAUAAACCCACAUUUACAGUACCAACAAGAUACCUUAAGAUCCGUUUUACCGCAGUAAGGUGAGACUCCUUCGGACACGAUUGAUAACGGGCGCAUAAACACACGCUAAACAUGAUGUCCGGGCGACUAGCAGUAAGAUAAAGAAGAGAGCCAAUCAUACCUCUAUACUUUUUAGUGUUAACUUCCUUACCUUUCUCAUCUUUGGUUAGAUGAUCGCAUGUGCUUAUGGGAGUAGCCAUUGUCUUUGCAUUGUUCAUUUCAAAACGUUUCAGCAGUUCUUUGCAAUACUUGGCUUGGCAAAUGAACGUACCUUCUUUCAUUUGCUUUACUUGUAAUCCCAAAAAGAAUGUUAACUCACCCAUCAUAGACAUCUCAAAUUCGCUUGUCAUCGGGAGAUUCGAAAUCCUCAAAACCGGGGGGUUGUUCAACAUAAACUUCUUCUUGAAUAAAUCCAUUUAGAAAGGCGCUUUUCACAUCCAUUUGAUAUAAAACAAAAUUCAAAGACGAGGCAAAAGCAAGUAAUAGGCGAAUAGCCUCUAGUCUAGCUACGGGAGCAUAAGUUUCAUCAUAAUCAAUACCUUCUUCUUGAUUGUAGCCUUUUGCUACAAGCCUAGCUUUGUUUCUAAUGAUUAUACCAUUUUCAUCUAAUUUAUUGCGAAAAACCCAUUUCGUACCAAUUAUGGUAUGAUCAUCGGGUCUUGGCACCAAUUCCCAAACGUCAUUGCGUUUGAAUUGGUUAAGCUCCUCUUGCAUUGCCAAGGUCCAAUGCUCUCAAUACCUUCUUCUUGAUUGUAGCCUUUUGCUACAAGCCUAGCUUUGUUUCUAAUGAUCAUACCAUUUUCAUCUAAUUUAUUGAGAAAAACCCAUUUCGUACCAAUUAUGGUAUGAUCAUUGGGUCUUGGCACCAAUUCCCAAACAUCAUUACGUUUGAAUUGGUUAAGCUCCUCUUGCAUUGCCAAAGUCCAAUGCUCAUCCCCAAUUGCUUCGGAAAUGGUUGAGGGUUCAAUUUGAGAAACGAAAGCAGUAUGCCCUAAGGUGUUCAUAAGAUUGUUUCGAGUACUUACCUUUUGUUCAAUAUCGCCAAUUACCUUGUCGAGAGGAUGGUCUUUGAUUGUCCUCCACGCGUUGGACAGUUUCUUUUCUUUCUCCAGUGGUGGCGCAUUCUUAAUAGAAUUUCGAGUACUUACCUGUUGUCCAACUUCGCCAAUUACUUGGUCGAGUGGAUGGUCCUUGACUAUUUUCCAAGUGUUGGGCAAUUUCGUUCCUUCUUCCGGUUGUGGAUUUUCUUCCGAGAGUUGUUCCACAGUUUCACAUUGUUUUUCUUUUGACUUUUCCUCGUAUGCUUUGAUUUGAGAAAGUAUAUUUUCUAGAGUAUCUGCAAAAUCAAAACCAGAGUCCUUUCUCGCCAAGCGAGCAUUAUUUUCGGAAAAUACAACAUGUGGAGAUUCUUCAACUGUUUUGGUUCUAUGGUUGUAUACUCUAUAAGCUUUACUAUGUGAUGAAUAUCCAAUAAAAAUUCCAUCAUCAGCUUUUGCAUCAAAUUUUCCCAAAUCAUUUUUCCCAUUGUUGUGAAUAAAACAUUUGCAACCAAAAACUCUAAAAUGGGAUAUGUUUGGUUUUCUACCUUUGUAAAGUUCGUAAGGGGUCUUCAUGAGUAUUGGCCUUAUGUCUACUCUAUUUAAAACAUAGCACGCAGUACUCACGGCAUCCGCCCAGAAACAUUUGGGAGUACUAGCCUCAUCGAGCAUGGUUCUAGCCAUCUCUUCGAGACAUCUAUUUUUCCUUUCCACAACUCCAUUUUGUUGUGGUGUGCGAGGAGCGGAGAAGGUGUGCUUGAUUCCGAGUUCGUCACAAAAGUCAGCGAAGAGAUUGUGAUCAAACUCUUCCCCAUGAUCACUCCUAAUAGAAGUGAUGGUUGAGUUCUUUUCAUUUUGAACUAGUUUAAGAAAGCAUUUAAAACUAUGAAAAGCAUCACUUUUGUGAACAAGAAAUAAAGUCCAUGUAAAUCUAGAGUAAUCAUCAACAAUUACAAAAGCAUAUCGAUUUUUUCCUAGACUUUCAACACGAGAUGGUCCGAAUAAAUCCAUAUGAAGUAAUUCCAAAGGUCUAGAGGUGGAAACGACAUUUUUCGAUUUAAACGAAGCUUUGGUUUGUUUUCCUCUUUGACAUGAAUCACAAAGGGAGUCAUUUUCAUAUUUCAAGUUAGGAAGACCAACAACUAAUUCACGUGAAAUCAGCUUGUUUAAAAGAUUCAUAUUCAUGUGUGCUACUCUACGAUGCCAUAGCCAAAUAUCAUUUUCUCUACUCAUAAGACAACUAAUAUAUUCAGAUGAAGAGUUUUUAAGAUCAACCAUGUAUAUGUUAUCAACUCUAAAACCAGAAAGAAUAAUCUUAAAAUCGCUACGUCGAAACACUAAACAUUCCAUAGAGUCAAACAAUACAAGAUUACCUUUGUCACAUAAUUGACUAAUACUCAAUAGAUUAUGCUUUAAACCCUUAACUAGCAAAAUGUGCUUAAUGGAGGAGGAUUCAUUCUUACCGACUGAACCAAUGCCGAUAAUUUUUCCUUUGUUAUUAUCCCCAAAAAUUACAUUGCCUCCAUCCUUGUUUUCUAAUUGAAGGAAUUUGGAUGCAUCUCCGGUCAUAUGUUUUGAGCAUCCACUGUCUAGGUACCAAAGUACAUUUGACCUUUUCAAACACACCUACAAAACAGAUUAAUGAGUUUUAGGUACCCAUGCCAUCUUGGGUCCUUGCGGGUUAGGCAUAUAAUCAUAGUGAUGUGACUGAGUCAUGUGUCUAUGUCGUGUAAAACAUACGGGAGCAAUAUGACCUUUCUUACGACAAUAGUGACAAGUUACGUUAGGAUUAUUCAUCCUUGUAGGUUCAUAAUAGCUAGAGGAGCGGAAUUUAUCUAUUCGAAUAUUCCGUGGUUUUUGGAAAUCAUCUUUUCUUAUAUUAGUGCUAGGAUAUGCAUAAUAGCUACCAUGAUGUCUAGUAUGAAAGUUAUUUCUAUAAGGUCUAGCAUGUGGUCUAGUAUGCAUGUUGAUUUUAUUUAUCCUAGGUUGAGCUUUAGGUGCGGAAGGAAGGGCUUCAACCUUUGGCUCGUUUUUAAAACCAAUGCCAUGUUUGGUUGAUUUUAGAUUAAUAAGAACAUCAUUCAAGUUUCUAUGAGAUGAAUUAAACUUAUCUAAGGUGUUCUUGAGCCUUCCUACUUCAUUUUUGAGAUGCAUGCAGGAAGUGCAGUUUUUGUUAGAGCUUUCGGGUUUGUCGGCGCUUCUUUUUCCAUAAAAUUUGUUUUCUUCUUUCAACUUUUCAUUUUCCAAAGAUAAUUUUUCUAAGUCUUUUUCUUUUGAAGAAAUCCAUUUUUCAAAAUCUUCUUGCUUCAAAGCAAGUUGUUUUUCAAAGUCUUUUUCUUUUAAUAAGAGUUGUUCUUCAAAAUUCUUUUCUUUUAAGGAGGCAUUAUUCCUUGCGUCUCUAACAAUCCCGGAAGCUUUAACAAACUCACUAUACAAUUCAUCAAAAGCAUUUUGUAAUUCUUCAAAUGUAAAGAAAUUUUUAGAGGAAAGAUUACUUACCUCUUCUUGGUUGUCUUCGUGUGCCAUGAGACACAAAUUUGCAGCUUCUUCUUCCUCAUCACUGCUUGAUUCAUCUCCGGAGUCACCUCCCCAUGAGAUGUAUUCCCUUUGCUUCUUUUCGGGCUUCUUUUCCUUCUUUGCAUUUGGGCAGUUUGGUUUGAUAUGCCCAAGCUCCCCACAUUCAUAGCAUUUUAGUGGUCCGUUUAGCCUCUUCCCUUUUCUUUCAUACUCUCUGCGUAUGAACUUGUUGAAUCGCUUCAUAAUGAGUGCGAACUCAUCACUUUCAUCUUCCUCAGUUUUGGGAUGAGUUGUUCUUGCCUUGAGGGCAAUUCUUUGCUUCCUUUCAUCAUUAGACGGAGGGUUAAGUAUAGUAGAUUCAUAGGUUUUGAGGUUACCUCGAAGUCCAUCAAUGGUGACAUUUGAGAAGCCAAUAGUUUCUUGAAUAGCGUCGGCUUUGGAGCGCCAUUCCAGAGUAAGACUUCGGAGAAUUUUUCGGACAAGUUCCUUAUCCGUAAAGGUCUUUUUGAGAGCAUGUAGGCCGUUAAUGAUUUUUGAAAAUCGUUCGAACAUUUCAUCGAUCUUCUCUCCUUCCUUCAUGUGAAACAAUUCAUAUGAAUGGGUUAGAAAGUCAAUUUUAGCUUCUCUUACCUGGUCCGUACCUUCGUACGUGAUUUCCAGCUUAUCCCACAUUUGCUUAGCCGUUUUGCAACAUGAUAUUUUUCUGUAAUCAUCAGCAUUUACACCACAAUAUAAUAAGUUGAUGGCUCUAGCGUUGUUCUGCACUUUUCGGAUAUCGGCCGUUGUGCAACAAGAGAUUUUCCUAUAAUCAUCUGCGUUUACUGCACAGUAUAAUAGGUUUAUGGCUUUGUCGUUGUAUUGCACAAGCUUCCAAUCAUCGUCAUCAUAUUCUUCUUCGGUCUUUUGUACCAAUACAUUUUCAACCUUUUUCAUUGGAGUUUGAUCUCCUUUAGUCACUACCUUCCAUAAAUGAUGACUUUGAGAUGAAUAUCCUCAUUCUUUCCUUCCAAUAUGUAUAGUUUGUGCCAUCAAAUAGAGGCGGUCUAGUGGAGCACUGUCCUUCACCUAUUCCUGCAAAAUAAUUACUAGUAGAAGCCAUAGAACAAUCCUCUCAAACUGUUAAGUUUUUAAGAGAGUUGGGCUCUGAUACCAAUUGUUAGAAUUAAGACUUAAUGCUAGAGGGGGGGUGAAUAGCGUUUUAUAAAAAAUCUUGCGGAAUUAAAACUUAACUUAAUUUGCAGGAAUUUAACAGGUGCUGAAAAUAAAUGCGGAAGGUAAAGAAGGCAGAGAUGUAUACUGGUUGGCCACACUUUGUGGUUAGUCCAGUCCCCGAGAGACUCUCUCGAGAUUUCUACUAGUUCCGUCGAGCUUACGGGUGCCCAACAAACCUUUACAACCUGAGACUUGAGUCACACAAAUCUCAGACAACCGUUAAGUUUACGGGUACCUAACAAACCUUUCCGUUUGAAAACUUAAAUCGCAUAAGCCUCAAACAACCUGCUCGGAGGUUCCUCACCUCAAAGACUUCUCAAGAAGAAACACAAUAUUCCUUCUUGUUACAAGUGUAUAAACACUCAAUACUCACUUAUACAAUUUCUCUCUUAAUAGAGUGGAUAUGAGUACAAAAGAAUCAGCUCAAGAACACAACAACUUAAUCAAAGAUUGGCUCUUAAAAUUGAGUAUGAUAUGAAAAUUGAAGAUCAAAAUUGUAAUGUAAGCUUUGCAAAUUUUCUGGUGUGUUGUUGUGUAUCUAAAAUGAUUUUCAGAGGGUGUUUUAUAAAAAAGAAGUGUAUUGGACCGUUGCCUUAGUGCUAAACACGCUCCCUGAAAAUCUGCCACUGACAAUCGAUUGUUUAUAUUGACAAUCGAUUGUUGGGUUACUUUUUCAACAGACAAACUCCUGAAAAUUCGGCUUUUAGAAAAUUUGUCGGAUUUUGUAAAGCUAACAAUCCAUUGUUGCUCUAUGACAAUCGAUUGUUGUUCAAAUAUUCAAAAUAUUUCCGACAACUUUUUGACCGAAAGUUUGUGUAAUGAUUGCCCACUAAUAAUUGUUGGAAUAAAGCCGUUUGAAAAAGUUAGUCUGGGAAUUUUAGUAAGCACAAUCGAUUGUUAGAUUCAGACAAUCGAUUGUGGUGAGUUUUAGACAAUUUCGAAAACUCUCUGCCUGAUGCCCAAAAUUUUGAUGCUAAGUAAAAAAUACUUUGACAAUCGAUUGUGGGCUCAAAAAUGAUUUUCAAGAAACUUUCUGUCUCAAGGCAAUUAUUUUGAGAUUAAGUAAAAAAUACUUCAACAAUCGAUUGUUAGAAGUGACAAUCGAUUGUGGGCUCAAAAAUGAUUUUAAACAAACUGUCUCAAGACGAAAUAUUUGAAGCUAAGUAAAAUUAGCUUGACAAUCGAUUGUGGUCAUAGACAAUCGAUUGUUAAACUCAACUUUCACAAAACGAGUUUAAAAAUCAUUUUGGCAAAUAUGCAACUUAUUUCUUUAAAACAUGAUGAUGCAUGAUUUUAUAAAAAUCAUUUUAGGUGAGAGCCAAUAUUAGAAAUAAGUCGUUGAGUCAAGAUUACAAAUUAAAGACGACUCAACAGUUAACAGCAUUUGCUAGUCUUGAACGCGUACUGUCCAUCUUGAACUUGGAAUGUUAUUGUUCCAUCCCCGAUGUUUGGCAUUUAUCAAAACCUACAUGAAUCAAUACACGUUAGUUCGAGAACGUGUUUCCAACAAUAUAUUCAUUGAAGUUAAUAUGAUUGAUUUAUUUAUCAAAUCUCUACCAACAAUCUUUUGAAAACGGUAUACAAUCUUAUUGAUAAGAAUUCAAGUCGUAGUAUAAGAAUCACGUCGUAAUCAAAGAAUUAUUUAUAUCGUGUCUAACUUUGCAUUUUGCCAUAAAUAUGAGUUAUUAUUUCACUUUUGUAUCUAUUUUAGGUUCCAUUGACAUCUAUGAGAAUAAUGCAAAAAUAAAAUUAUCACUGCGAUAAUUGAGAAAAUGUAAGUCUUUUUCCUGUAGUGAUUCUUAAUUAAUAUCUGACGAUUAUCUAUAAUUAUUUGGAAGGUUUAAAUGUUAAGCUUAUUUAUAUAUAAUUUAAAUAAUUCAGAUACUUAACAUGGUUAAUGUCAAAUAUAUAAAAAAAAAGAGUAAGAAAAUUCACUAGAUAAUUUUUUUUAAAAAUAUAUUUAGAUAGCCAACUAAAAUGAGUUUUGAAUUAAUAAUAAUAUUUUCAAUUAUAUUAUAAUAAAAAUAAUUAUUAUUGAAAAAUAAUAUUUUAGAAACUGAAAAUUUAAAAAGAAAUAUCUUUUAAGAGAUAUCAACACAUCAAAUAAGAGUUCAAGUAGUAGUAAAAGAGUUAAUUCUUAUCCAAAGAGUCAUUCAUCGUCUCAAUAUUUGAUUAUUUUGUCAUAAAUAUGAGUUAUUAUUUUGAUUUAUGACUAUUUUUAGGAUCCAAUGACACCGGCAAGAAUGGUAUUAAAAGAAAAAAUAGGAGAAAUGGCUAAUCUUUUUCAUGUAGUUAAUAUCCAAUGAUUAUCUAUAUUUACUUAUAAAGUGUAAAUUUUAAGAUUAUUUACAUACAAUCCAAAUAACUUAAAUACUUGACAUAAUUAGUGUCUGCGCAUCCGUGCGGGGUACUAAUACUAGUUUAUAAUAUAUCCCUUUAAGUGAAGUUUUGCCUUUUUCUCCUAUUUAAAGGACAAUGUGAUUUUAUACUGGAAUUACUGGCAAGCAGGAGUUCGAAAAUAUUUAAUUAUUCUUAUCCUUUUUUUUACAUAUAUAAAUACCAUUACUAUAUAUUUAUAAAGUAUUCGAUAUCUUAUAUGUCUAGCAUGAUAUGAAAACUUAAUAUGGAUUUAAAGUCUAUUAUCUUAACUUAUAUGACAAUCCAUGGACGAUUUAAGUUGCUUAAAGCAUAUACAAUUCUUGAUCCUUAAGUACCACUUUCUCAGUCCAAUUUGUGAACAUUUGUAUCUUGCUAUAAUUAAAAGCAUAAUAUUUUGAUUGCGAGGAUUUUUUAGAUGCAAUAUAUUCAUUGAAGUUAAUAUGACUGAUUUAUUUAUCGAAUCUCUACCAACAAUCUUUUGAAAACGGUAUACAAGAAUGGGAUGUGAAGGCUCAAAGAUGUGAAUUGAUGCUCUCAUCAAGGGGAGUUAAUACGCGUUGUACUCUUUUCCCCUUACAAGGUUUUGUCCUAUUGGGUUUACCUUGCAAGGUUUUAAUGAGGCAACCAAAAGGCAUGUUGUUAGAUAUGUGUACUCUUUUUCUUUUACUAUAAUAUUUUAUCCAUUGGAUUUAAUUUAGUUAAGGUUUUAAUGAGACAAAUUAUCUGUUGAAUAGACAUUCAAGGGAGAGUGUUAUAAAUAUAAUUUUAUUUAUAGUGAAUGUCUAUAUUUAGAGAGAUUCUGUUGGCUUAUUAUUUGAUGGCUAAGUUAUUCUCUCAAUAUAAAUAGAGAGUUCUAUUCCAUUGUAUUUCAUCCCAAAAUCAAUAAGAAUUCUUUUUCCCUACUUUUCUCUGGAAUACUCUUAUUCUUCUUUUAUUAUUUCAUAACAAUUAAAUAUAAUGAGGGCUAAAAGCGAAAAAAUCCAUGAUUUUGUUUGUAUGUAACUAGCCAAAAUUAACAAAUUAAAGGAAAAUAUUCAACAAAUUCCCUCGUCUCCUUGUUUAUACGUCGUUCACAUGAAUUUUACAUAAUAAAUAAUUCAACGCUUCAAUUCCCUCAAAUCAAGGUUAACCACGAUACUUACUCCACUUUGCAACCAAAUUCAAGAUUUCAAAAAACCUUUGCCUCGCGAAUUCGUGUCCGAAAGCUUCAAAUCUAGUCACAACAAUUCAAUAUACUCAAUACAAUCUGUAGGAAUUAAUUCCAGAUGAAUUUACUAAUUUUUCGGAUAAAAAUCUGAAAUUUAUUUUAAAAAUCGAUAGUGGGACCCAUGUCCCGAAUCUUGAAAAAACUCACAAAAUUCGAACACAUGUUCCGAUACGAGUUAUACCAUACAAAAUUAUCGAAUUCCGACAUCGGAUUGACUUUCAAAUCUCAGAUUUUUAUUUUUGGAAGAUUUUAUAAAAAUCUGAUUUUUCUUCCAUAAAUUCAUGGAUUCAUGAUGUAAUGUGUGAAAUCAAGAAAUAUAAUCAGUAUACGAUAAGGAACACUUACCUCAAUAUUUUUCCAUGAAAAUCACCCAAAAAUCGCCUUACCCGAGCUCAAAAUCGUGAAAGAUGAAAAAUGGGGCAAAAUCCCAUUUACAGAACAUAAGUUUUGCUGCCCAGGUUUUUACCUUAUGUGAUCACGAAAAAUACUUUGUGAUCGCAUAACACAUUUUCUGACCAGGUCAAGUUUACUCUCCGCGAUCUCGGAUAGGUCUUCGCGAUCGCGAGGCAUAUUUUGGUUGCACUGAUUUUUAACUCUACGCGAUCGCGUAAAUGGUCAUUUCAUCGCGGAGAACAUUUUCUCAGCCUCACGCGAUUGCGUACUGUCUUGUGCAAUCACGUAGCACAAAUGACGUGCCCAGCUUCUGACUUCUUUCCUUCUAUGUGAAUGUAGCUUGCCCUUUGUGUUCGCGAUGCUCUGACUGCUGCCACUAUGCAAUCGCAUAGUUCAAUUUUUUCAUCAUUGACAUUAAGCUUUCACGAUCGUGGACAUAGUCAUGCGAUCACAUAGACGGAAAUCAAUACUGUGAAGCACCAGAAUUCUAGCGAUGUUUUCUUGAACAAAAAUUGUCUGAAACUCAGACGAACCAUUCGGGACCUCGUCCAGAUAUACCAAAAGACUCAUAACAUAAUACAGACUUAUUAGGGAUUCCAAAUCACGUCAAAUAAUAUCAAAAUUAUAAUUUACACUUUGAUUCGGACUUAUGAGUUUCAGACUUUUCAAUUUACAAAACUCGUGCCGAAACACAUUAAACGAAUUUGGAAUGACUCCAAAUUUGGCACAUAAGUCAUAAAUGACGUAACAAAGCUAUUCCAAUUUUUGGAAUCUCAAUCUGAGGCGAAUAUCAAUAAAUUCAAAUCCAUGGUCAAACUUUGAAAACCUUUAGCCUUUAGAUUUCUAGUUUUUUCGUUAAAUAGCGAUAACAUGAGCUAAGGACCUCCAAAUUUGAUUUAUAUAGAUGGGAUACCAUGUGAAAUAAAACAUCAUAUGUAAGUAAGUAGCAUCUAGAACAGAAUCCAGAGCAGCUAAGAAAAAAAAUCGAGUAACUUGCGGGUCGGUCGUCAUUGCACACUACCUGGUCAGUGGGGGUAUGAGAGUGUUCCGUUGGUGUUCUCAGUCUCAGUGCGACCUUGCUUGGUCAACAAGGGGAUCAAAAUGAGCGAGUUCUCGUCCCAUACUCAAGUCUGACUUCGAUCAUCGUCUCCCGUCUGCGCAAGAUGGAUUUGGCUUCGGUGAUUCACCAUUUGAAAGACGAGAGAACACUAUCGGCACAGAACCAACAAAGUUUCUGGCAUACGGACAAGUCUUAAAUCACAAUAAAGACCUGAUGGAACUGUCAAAACACUAAUUUGGAUCCAUUUACUCAAAAUAUUGACCAAAGUCAACUUAGUUGAAUUUAAAGCUCUAUUUCAUAUUUUUAUCCAUUUUUAUCAUACAAACUUUCCGAAAAAUUAUACGGACUGUGCAUGCAAUUCGAGGAAUGAUAAAUAGUGAUUUUCGAGGUCAUAGAAUACAAAAAUUAAUGUUAAAUUUAAAGAUGAUAUUUUGGGUCAUCACAGCGGUACAAGUAGGAACCGAUUUUGCAGGCGAGCAGACUACAUGUUAGGACUUCCCUCUCUUCCAGUGCUAUUGGUGAGCUCCGACUUUGUUCGUGGAGUAUUCCUUUGAAUCAUCUUUAUUUAGUUAUUCCUUUGUUACUUGGAGAACUAGCCAGACAAUCUCAUAAUUAAGGUUCACAUGUUUUUGAUAAUAACUUAGCAGUAUUUUAGUGGUUACUACAAAUGAAGUUUUAGAGUUCGGUUAUUCUAGAUAAUUAAAUUAAUUAAAAGUAUUUGGUUAAAGUAUUUCCUUAUUGCAUAUAAAGUUUGAAAUUAUAAUAGAUUUGAUAAGCACAUAUGAUUCGCUCGAUCAAGAUUAAUAAUCGAGGUACCGGUCACAGCUUAUUCAGAAAAUGGGUGGUGACACUAUUUCUAGUUUUGAAUGGCACUGGUGGCGAGACAAAAGGUAAACUUACAAUGUAGUCGACGCAAAAAGUAUUAUGGUGAUAAGUCGCUAGUUCAAGAAGCGAGCUAACCGAAGUGCUUUUAGUGGCGACUUUCUGGUCUUUUGUGGCGACUCUACUUGAAGUCUCCCUACCUGGUUGAUAUAAUAACAUAAAACUUAGAAAAAAAAGUGAUAAAAUUACUUGUGGUUCUUCUAACAAUCAAAUAUUUUAUUGAUAGUAUUUAUUAUUAAUGACGCUGAAUUUUAUGUGAGAGAUAAUUAAACCUCUUACUACACCACCGAAACAACAACAACAAUAACCUAAUAAAAUCCUUCAAGUGAGGAAUUUAAAGAGUGCAGUGUGUACGUAUACCUUAUCCCUAUCCCCAUGGAGUAGAGAAACUGUUUUCGGUAGAUAUUCGAUUUAAGAAGACAAAAAAGAUAAAAACAGACAAUAUAUGAGCAUCAUCAAGAGAAACUAUAGAAACAAUACAACAUCAUGUGAACCCAAAAUUUUUAAAUGCAUGAUCAUUAACUUUUGUUUUCCUCAAAAUUUUUAGUACUUUUAUUUAUUUUCAAGAAACAAAAAACAACAAAUGAGUAGGCAUUUCAACGAUUUUUCUAUAAUAAGAAAUAUUUCUUAAAGACAUUCUAUUCUAGAUGAAAAAAGUAAAGUAUUAGUUGUCCUAUAAGAAAAACGGAGGUGAAAAGGUCACAGAUUAGAAUGAUAUUAAAUUCUAAUCCUUGCAUUAUUAAUGGCAAAACAAUCUCAUAAAAUCACAACCAACUGUCCAGAUUAUUUAAAUCCAAUCCAUAUUUAAUUCAUUCAUAUCAAUGUCCACUCCUCUCAUUGACUGAUUAUGUGUUAUUUAAUGCUAAUGAACAAUUUUCUUAUUUAAAUAGGCUUAGAUGGGUGAUAUUUUGUGAAAAUUAUUCGAUUAGUUUCGUGUUGAAGAGGGACACUUUGUUAAAUUGGGAAGAAUCUUCAAGUUUUCCUCUUUGGAAGUGUGGUAAUUUUAUUAUUUUCGCAAUUUUUUUCACAAGAUUCAUCUUAUUAUUUCUUUUUUCCUUUUCCCUUUUUAUUUGAAACAAAAGUUGAAACAAGCAAUGAGAAAUAUAUCGGAUUAGUUGGGAUGAGUCUUUUUUUUUUCGUUUAAUGUUCGGUAUAUUACAGAAGCCGCUCACCUAAUUAAAGGGAGAAAUGCUUCCUACCAGGGUUUGUUUUUCAUUUUAUGAGCAUAAACUUGAGAUUCUAAAUAAAAAUGAACAAUUCAUCCGUUUCAUGAAAAGAAUAGACAUUGGGCCUUGCUCAACCCCAAAAGCUAGCUUAUGAGGUGAGGAUUGCUCAAGCCAUACCAAGGACCUCAAAUACCUCCGAUGUGGGACAACUCAACACCCCCUCACGCCCAGAUCUCUGGAGCGUGGACAACAUAAAUGAGGGCCCAACAUCGGUAAUAAUAAUUGGGAUGAGCCUGACUCUGAUACCAUGAAAAGAAUGGACAUUGGGCCUAACUCAACUCCAAAAGCUAGAUUAUGAGGUGAGGAUUGCCCAAGCCAUAUAUGGAGACCAAGAACCUCAAAUCCCUCGAUGUGGGACAACUCAACAUUUCACCACAUCCGUUAUUGUUGAUCGGAAUGAAUAAUAUGAUUCGAUAGUUAAGCCUUAGAUCUAGCUCACAAUGUGGUGUGGUCAAUAUUUACUAUCCUUCUCCUCACCCCUAAUUAGGGGUGUUCAAAACCGAUCCGAAACCGAAAACCGAACCGAACUGAAGCUUAAUGGCUUAAUGGUAACGGCUUAACGGCUUAACGGACGGAGAACAGAUUGAAUUUUUUUUAUUUAUAUAUAUAUAUAUAUAUAUAUAUAUAUAUACUUACAUAAUUAUAUAUAUUAAAUAUAAACACUAAAAAACUUAAAAAUGAAUAAGUGUAUGUGUAUUUUUUUGCUCCCUCAUCACCCUCGCUAUGAUUAUAGAGCACGUAAUCAUGAUAAGUAGGAGCAAACUACAUUUGGUGGAAGAACAUAAAUUUGUGAAGAUUAGAUACAUUUGGUUAUACAAUAGAAGGCAAAAGGGAAAAUGAGCAUGUUGCCUGGUUUAUCUGGUGGACAGUGUUCAUGGUAAAAGUCAUUAAGUUUAAGGGCAUGGCCAAGGCUAGCCAAAAAGCCAUGAGAAGGACCAACAUUAGCCCCAGCAUACUCCUUGUAUGGAAAGGCAAAAAGAUGGCCGACAGCAGCAAUAAGCAUCUCAACACAAAUUAUAUCAUGAGAAGGACCAACAUUAGCCCCAUCAUACUCCUUGUAUGGAAAGGCAAAAAGAUGGCCGACAACAGCAAUAAGCAUCUCAACACAAAUUAUAAAAUUCUGGAAUUCUACAGCUUUUCGAUGUCUUUAAUAAACCGAUAAACCGCCCGGUGACCGCCCGAUAAGAGCUAACCCGAUACCAAUCCGUCCGAUAUCUUAUCGGGUGGCUAACGAAUGAAUACAUUUAAAAGCCGAUAACCGUUAAGCCAAACCGUUAAAGUAAAAAGCCGUCCAAUCCGCCCAAUGAACACCCCCUGGUCUCUCCCAGUGCCCCACAAAAGGCUGCUACCAGGAGAACAGUAAAAUGAGUAGAAGCCAGCUAGACUGUAAAACACCCCUACCCCUAAUAAGUAUAAUAAAAAAUUAAAAAGAAAAUAAGAUUUCUUCCGUUUAGUUUGAACCAUCCGAAACAAAAGAAAAAUUAGGUCCGGCUGUUGGACCGUCAGUAUCCUUAUAUUAUCUCAAGUUAGGGAUCAUGAUGAAACUCACUACCUUAUUUUAUCAACAUAGGUAUAAUCCCUAAGGGGUAGAUAUAAAAAAUACAACAAAUUUCAUGCUUGUGAUUUGGCUCUUACUUUAAGUUUUUUCUUAUAUUUUAGUCACAUACCUCCAACUUAGAAUAGUGUAACCAACAUGUUAUCAAAGAAAAUUAAAAUAUUAUAAGAUAUGAUCUUCAUCGAUUCAUAGUUGAACUAGACAAAGAUAAUGUACAUCUAUAUGCAUAUUUUUUUAUUAUUUAGAUGGAGGAUAAUAUCUGAAUUAAAGUUAAUAUUUAAACAACAACAACAAUAACAAUCCAGUAUAAUCCCACUUAGUGGGGUCUGGAAAGGGUAGUGUGUACGCAGACCUUACCCCUACCCUGAGAUAGAGAGGCUGUUUCCAAAUAUUAUAAAAUAUUAUAAGAUAUGAUCUUCAUCGAUUCAUAGUUGAACUAGACAAAGAUAAUGUACAUCUAUAUGCAUAUUUUUUAUUAUUUAGAUGGAGGAUAAUAUCUGAAUUAAAGUUAAUAUUUAAACAACAACAACAAUAACAAUCCAGUAUAAUCCCACUUAGUGGGGUCUGGAAAGGGUAGUGUGUACGCAGACCUUACCCCUACCCUGAGGUAGAGAGGCUGUUUCCAAAUAGACUCCCGGCAUCCUUCCAUCCAAAGUUAAUAUUUAAAGUGAAAGCAAAAAUCAGGUGAGAUUUGAAAAGGGAUAAAUAAAAAUAAAUAAUCCAAAAGCAAAGAGGAGAUCGCUGACUCAGCAACGAACAGUCAACACUUUGCCAGCCACCUGCUGGGCCACGCGGUUUUAGUUAUUUCCAAACCUCACUUUCCAUCCUUCGAAAUUCCGUAGCAGUCGUCUGGCACGAGAGGCGAGAGAUAAUUAAUUUUGAAAUUAAAUAUGGAAUAAAUUUAUUUUAUAUUUAAUUAGAAUAGUAGUAUUUUUUAUUUAUAUGGGAGAGUAGAAUAAUUAAUUUCAGGAUAAUUAAUUCUAAAAAAAUAUUAAAAUAUUAUGGUAUAGCCAGUUUUGAUACUGAUCAAUGAAAAAUAGUUAGCGUUUACCAAGUUAAUGAUAAAUAGUUACUAUUUUAUUGCAACAAGGACCAGUCCAAUAUAAUAUACGAGAGUUCUAGUAUAUUUGUGUACGAACUCCGGCAUAUUAUGCUGGACCGGUAUACUUUGAUAACUCCUGUAAAAUUUGCGGGAGACUGGAGCACCAGUGCUCCAAACUCCAGUAUAUUAUACUUGACAAUUAUACUUGCUGGAACUCAAGUAAAAAUUGGAGACUGGAGCACCAGUGCUCCAAACUCCAGUAUAUUAUACUGGACAAUUAUACUCUUUGGAACUCCACUAUAAUUUGCGGAGUUCCAGCAUAAUUAUGCUUGAACUCCCGUAAAAUUUGCGAGAGCUCCAGCAUAGUUAUCUUGGAACUCCCGAUUUACGGGAGUUCAAGCAUACUUACGCUGGAACUCCCGUAAAAUUUACGGGCGUAUCUUUUCAGAUUUUGAACAGUUUUCGCUCAGAUUUAAAGUGGUUAAAUUUCGAUGACUUUUGAAACUUUACUAUUUUUCAACGACCAAUAGUAAAUCUGGCUAUUUUUAAAUUUCUUCCUAAAAAAAUUAAUCACUGAAUAACUUAUUUCCCAACUAAACGACCCCUAAGUUAGCAUUUGUUUUUUCACCAAUCCAAUUUUUGGCUUCAUGUGUUUACACUAACAAAUAAAUACAUAACAUGUAUUUUUAUAAAUAUAAUUAACAUUUAGCAUAAUUAAUUAGUAUAAUUUUGACGUAAAUACUCUGUGCGAGUAAAUAUUUGUCGUCAAGGAAUAUGGUAGGAUGAGCGGAAUUCAUCCGGGUUAAUCAGAGGUCUCGGAUUUAAGUCUUCAAAAAUAAAAUAAAAAGAUCUAAUAUAAAGUGUUACUUCUUUGAUAAGUCUUCUAUGGUACAAUUUGAAUUAGUCGAGUAAAUAAAUUCAAAUACCAAAAUAAUUAAUAUGAAUCAGAUGAGCAAAACAGUAAAACACUCCUUAAUAAAAGAUUCUUCAUAUUUUUAAAGCUUGCAUAUGAAAUAAUCACAUAUCAUAGGGUCACAUAAUCUUUAUUUUAUUUAGUUAAACACAAAUGUUCUCCUCACAUUAGUAGAGUUAGUACAAAAGUAUGUAAAGAUUAUUUUUUACUAUUUAACUUUAUCAACUCGUUAAAGCGAUAUCUUACUACUCCAUUUAUGGCAUUUUGUAGUAGUAUGUAUGCAGACCUUAUCCCUACCCUUAGGUAGAGAGACUGUUCCCAAAUAGACCCCCGACAUCCUUCCCUCCAAGAACUUCCCACCUUACUCUUGGGGAGACUCGAACUCACAACCUCUCGGAUGGAAGUGUGAGUUGCUCACCAUCAGAGCAACCCCUCUUGUCUAAUCGCAUUUUAUACAAUAAUUACAAGAAUUUGUAUAGUCAAUAAAUUUUUAAUGGUUUUUUAAAAAAAAUAUUUUAGGUACUCUUUUAAUUAUAAAAACUGUGAUUUAUAAUAAUUUUUAUAUGUUAUAUUUUAACUCUGUAAAUUUCAUUACAAGUAGAACCAGAAAUCAAUAUUAAAAAAUAAAUGAAAAUUUAUAGAUAUAAUUUGAUUAUUCUUAAAUUGUUCUUUCUGCACUUAGCAAGAGUUAACUAUUUCAGGCUCUUAUCAUGUUUCAUUAUUUUUGUUUAACUUUAGAAUUUAUAAAAACGAGAACUUUUCAAUUUAGACAAGAGUGGUUGCUCUGAUGGUAAGCAGCGUCUACUUCCAACCGAGAGGUUAUGAGUUCGAGUCUCCCCAAGAGCAAGGUGAGAAGUUCUUG